AGUGAACGCUGGCGGUAGGCCUAACACAUGCAAGUCGAACGGCAGCACAGAGGAGCUUGCUCCUUGGAUGGCGAGUGGCGGACGGGAGAGGAAUACAUCGGAAUCUACUCUGUCGUGGGGGAUAACGUAGGGAAACUUACGCUAAUACCGCAUACGACCUACGGGUGAAAGCAGGGGAUCUUCGGACCUUGCGCGAUUGAAUGAGCCGAUGUCGGAUUAGCUAGUUGGCGGGGUAAAGGCCCACCAAGGCGACGAUCCGUAGCUGGUCUGAGAGGAUGAUCAGCCACACUGGAACUGAGACACGGUCCAGACUCCUACGGGAGGCAGCAGUGGGGAAUAUUGGACAAUGGGCGCAAGCCUGAUCCAGCCAUACCGCGUGGGUGAAGAAGGCCUUCGGGUUGUAAAGCCCUUUUGUUGGGAAAGAAAUCUAUCUGGUUAAUACCCGGGUGGGAUGACGGUACCCAAAGAAUAAGCACCGGCUAACUUCGUGCCAGCAGCCGCAGUAA
rnacentral:rRNA from 1 species